CCUCGGGAUUAGUGGCGAACGGGUGAGUAACACGUGAGCAAUCUGCCCCUGACUCUGGGAUAAGCGCUGGAAACGGCGUCUAAUACCGGAUACGAGCCGAGCAGGCAUCUGCAUCGGUUGGAAAGAACUUCGGUCAGGGAUGAGCUCGCGGCCUAUCAGCUUGUUGGUGAGGUAAUGGCUCACCAAGGCGACGACGGGUAGCCGGCCUGAGAGGGUGACCGGCCACACUGGGACUGAGACACGGCCCAGACUCCUACGGGAGGCAGCAGUGGGGAAUAUUGCACAAUGGGCGCAAGCCUGAUGCAGCAACGCCGCGUGAGGGAUGACGGCCUUCGGGUUGUAAACCUCUUUUAGCAGGGAAGAAGCGAGAGUGACGGUACCUGCAGAAAAAGCACCGGCUAACUACGUGCCAGCAGCCGCGGUAAUACGUAGGGUGCGAGCGUUGUCCGGAAUUAUUGGGCGUAAAGAGCUCGUAGGCGGUCUGUCGCGUCUGCUGUGAAAUCCCGAGGCUCAACCUUGGGCCUGCAGUGGGUACGGGCAGACUAGAGUGCGGUAGGGGAGAUUGGAAUUCCUGGUGUAGCGGUGGAAUGCGCAGAUAUCAGGAGGAACACCGAUGGCGAAGGCAGAUCUCUGGGCCGUUACUGACGCUGAGGAGCGAAAGCGUGGGGAGCAAACAGGCUUAGAUACCCUGGUAGUCCACGCCGUAAACGUUGGGAACUAGAUGUGGGGACCAUUCCACGGUCUCCGUGUCGUAGCUAACGCAUU
rnacentral:rRNA from 1 species